CACCUGUUGAAUAAUUAAAAA
rnacentral:snRNA from 1 species